rnacentral:rRNA from 1 species
GAUGAACGCUGGCGGCGUGCCUAAUACAUGCAAGUCGAGCGAACGGACGAUAAGCUUGCUCUUUUGAUGUUAGCGGCGGACGGGUGAGUAACACGUGGAUCACAUUCCUAUAAUACGGGGAUAACUUCGGGAAACCGGAGCUAAUACCGGAUAAUAUUUUGAACCGCAUGGUUCAAAAGUGAAAGACGGUCUUGCUGUCACUUAUAGCUGGAUCCGCGCUGCAUUAGCUAGUUGGUAAGGUAACGGCCUACCAAGGCAACGAUGCAUAGCCGACCUGAGAGGGUGAUCGGCCACACUGGAACUGAGACACGGUCCAGACUCCUACGGGAGGCAGCAGUAGGGAAUCUUCCGCAAUGGGCGAAAGCCUGACGCAGCAACGCCGCGUGAGUGAUGAAGGUCUUCGGAUCGUAAAACUCUGUUAUUGGGGAAGAACAGAUGUGUAAGUAACUGUGCAUAUCUUGACGGUACCUAAUGAGAAAGCAACGGCUAACUACGUG